rnacentral:rRNA from 1 species
AACGAACGCUGGCGGCAUGCCUAACACAUGCAAGUCGAACGAGACCUUCGGGUCUAGUGGCGCACGGGUGCGUAACGCGUGGGAACCUGCCCUUAGGUUCGGAAUAACUCCCCGAAAGGGGUGCUAAUACCGGAUAAUGUCUUCGGACCAAAGAUUUAUCGCCUUUGGAUGGGCCCGCGUUGGAUUAGCUAGUUAGUAGGGUAAAAGCCUACCAAGGCGACGAUCCAUAGCUGGUCUGAGAGGAUGAUCAGCCACACUGGGACUGAGACACGGCCCAGACUCCUACGGGAGGCAGCAGUGGGGAAUAUUGGACAAUGGGCGAAAGCCUGAUCCAGCAAUGCCGCGUGAGUGAUGAAGGCCUUAGGGUUGUAAAGCUCUUUUACCCGGGAUGAUAAUGACAGUACCGGGAGAAUGAGCGCCGGCUAACUCCGUG